CGAUUGUCUAAUGUUAACCCUAAUACUAAGCAUUCAGCUUAUCAAUCAAACCAGUGCAGGUCAAUUCAGAUAUGUUAGUUUACAAUUAUGGUAUAGUUAACAGUUAUGGUAGUUAUUUUUUUUUUUUUGAAUUUUGCAUCCCCGCUAGCACAAGGCUAUAGCAGGGGAAGGGAAGUUACUUGCUGGCAAUUACCCAGAUCUUUUGCUUUACGUUAAGUUAAUUGCCGGCUAUUUUAUUCCGGCCCAAGAGGCAAAGCAAAGACAAGCUUUACAUUAGACCGGCUCAUGUGGCGUGGUAGUUAACAUCGUUGAGUAACAUUUUCAAUUUUCAUUCACAGGAACGACGAGGGAGACACAGGCGCCGCCGCCGCUCUGCAGAGUGCCUCCGUCAGCACGUCGGAGAGGUAAAUCACGGUCACCAUUGCUAUGUUACUUUCCUUCUAUCUGGUUCAAGGUACUCAAGCUUCGGGCAAAAGGCUUCCACCUCGUUUUCACGGGAUAUCGUGGGACAGCUGCGAAGACGACCCUGCGAACCAUGCUGUUCGGAGACGAGUCUCUGGAAAGUCAGCUCCUUGCUAAUGCUGGCGAUGGGAGGAAGAGUGCGGACAACGCUCGUUGGCUGCCUUGACGCCGAGUCUGUCAAAAGCUGACCCGAGUGUUGUACUUGGUGCGGUACGGGGUAUGCCGAGCUGUGUUGUUUCGCAAUAAAUGUGCAAAAUGACUCUGGAAUUUACGGCCAAACGCGGCAGAGACCACAGCAAAGUCUACAAACACAUGUAAGCCAGAACAUUAUCAAUAUUAUGUGCACCCAAACAGUGCACUGACAGAAGAAAGAAACAAGUUGACCCAGUCCGCUAUUCAAGAAAAAAAAGCGUACAUCCUGGCGCCGAUUGAUGAGAAGGAACUGAGAGCAGUCCUGAGAAUGACUGUUCUCCACGGAACACAGUCCCAAACGGUGGACAUGUCACCACCGAACGCGACCCUCAGCUGUUCGGAGCCGCCAUGGGAAAGCAGAAAUACCUGGCCAUCCUCUCCCAUCUGGCGUUUGAUGAAGCGGAGACAUGAGACGAUCAUCGGCAAUUUGACAAGUGUUGCCCACAGCAAUAGGAACAGAAAGAGUCGAACAAGUGUGAGGUGAAUGAGAUUAUGUUGACGAUUAAGUGAGGUGUAGUUGCCCUCUAGCUAUAGCAGCAGUCUAGCGCCGGCAAUCACGCUAUAGCAGCGGUUUAGCGUUCGAUCGUCGCGACAUCUAUAUUAGUUAAGCGCCGAUAGUCACGCUAUAGCAGCAGUUUGGCGUUCGAUCGUCGCGACAUCUAUAUUGACCGAGUGUGAUUACGCGUGGGUAUUUACAAGUACUCGAAUGUGGCAGGUACUUUAAAUACUCGAAUACCAUUCUGAUGAAUAUUUCCACGGUUUUCUUUGAAUGCUAUGAACAAUAUUUUGUACAACGUUUUCCGAAACAAAUAAUUCUGCGUUUUGUGUUUCACGUUUUCGAAUCUAAGAACCUAAAACAUUGUGACGUGUCAGCAUUUUCGGUAUGAUAGUGGUGGGCACUGUCGUGUUCCUGCCACGCCCGUUUUGUGCGGCCGACAUUCUUGUUCAGGAUUGUUUCUGAGGAUGGUUUGAUUUCCCUGGCGCUAAUGAGAAUAAUAUGAAGAGACUGUUUCGACCGUGUGUCAGAGGGAAUCAGCCCCCAGUUAGUCCGGCAUGAGGUGCACACAGUCAGUAAGUUUAACCGAUUGAACUGGUCGUUUCAGUCUUAUGAUAGUAUGUGCCUAGUAUGUGCUACUUGCAGUCGAAAUGUGUCAAGGACGAACGAGUAUGGGUCAUGUCAAGGUCUAAUCGUCAGAUCGAGUGUGGCUCAGUUGUUGUGUUAGGGAAGAGCUCACUGCUGCUAUAUGUGACGAUUGUUCUGACGUGUUGCAGAAACGGAUCUAUAGACAAGAUGAAUACAAGGUCCUGUGUUUGAC